rnacentral:lncRNA from 1 species
UACUUUUAUUUAUUUUUAUGCUGAGGAUCAAACUCAGUGCCUCACACAUGCUAGGUGAGCACUCUACCACUGAGCCACAACCCCAACCUGAAAUUCACCUCUCUCUCUCUCUCUCUCUCUCUCUUUUUUUUAAAUCUAAGCUUGCAAUUCUCUGAAAAGUCAUUAGUCUAAUCAGUUUAAUUAUUUAAUUGAUUUUUUUUCUUCCGGUGUUUGAACACAAUCAUUAUUUAGUUUGGGGAAGUUAGGAGAAUAUAGAGUUAAAAGUAAGGAAAGAAAAAGCUAAAGUCUUUUGUUUUUUAGGUGAUUGGAAUGAGAAGAUCAAAGAUCAAAUUAAGCAGAUGAUAGAUGUCUCUCAGACACAAACUACAAUAUCAGUAGUUGAAGACUAUCUAAAACUUUUACAACUUAAGCUAAGAGCCUCGAUGUCUACAAAAUGUAAUUUAGAAGGUGGGUUGUUCUGGAGAAGAAAUUGCCAUGUUGGAAAGUCUUAAAAUUUUAUUGGAAAGAUAAA